GUCUCUGUGGCACAAUCCCUUAGCGUGUUCGGCUGUUAACCGAAAGGUUUGGGUUCGAGCCUACCCAGGGAUG
rnacentral:tRNA from 1 species